rnacentral:rRNA from 1 species
UGGGGAAUAUUGCACAAUGGGCGAAAGCCUGAUGCAGCGACGCCGCGUGAGGGAUGACGGCCUUCGGGUUGUAAACCUCUUUCAGCAGGGACGAAGCGCAAGUGACUGUACCUGCAGAAGAAGCACCGGCUAACUACGUGCCAGCAGCCGCGGUAAUACGUAGGGUGCGAGCGUUGUCCGGAAUUAUUGGGCGUAAAGAGCUUGUAGGUGGCUCGUUGCGUCGGGAGUGAAAACCCGCGGCUCAACCGCGGGCCUGCUUCCGAUACGGGCGAGCUAGAGUUCGGCAGGGGAGACUGGAAUUCCUGGUGUAGCGGUGGAAUGCGCAGAUAUCAGGAGGAACACCGGUGGCGAAGGCGGGUCUCUGGGCCGAUACUGACACUGAGAAGCGAAAGCGUGGGGAGCGAAC